CCCUUUCACCAGAGCGGCUGCCAGUCCCAGGAGUCCCCCGGGAGUCAAAAGGUGGAGCGGCUCCUCGGAACCAGUGUUUCCGGAUGCUGCCCUGGCUCCUGCACAUGAAAGCCUGGUGUGUGGAUGCCCUGGCCUGGGUAUCCUGUGACCACCAGCACUCCUCUUCAUCCUUGCUUCUCCCCGUUUGCUGGCUCAGAGGAGGGAAGAGGAAGGAGAGACCAGCUCCCAAGGAUCCUUAGGGAGCCUCCACCCUGGCCCAGACUGCCUUGGUUGCCACAGAUUCCCUCUCAGUGAGAUGACCUUUCCUCUUCCUGAGGGGCAGGGGCAUGUGUGCCUCCAGGGUCCUCAGUCUCCACCUGCCGUCAUGUGUCUCCCUCCAGCACUCCUGGAGCCCUGUCCUUGGGAAGUGGUGAAAACUCCUGAUUGGAAGUUCUUAAUAGUGUUGCCAUGAAAAUGAAAAUCUGGACUUUUCUAGACUUCUUGUGAGAUGUUAGCAGAUCCAUGGCAUCUGUUACAGUUAGGGAUUGCCCUUUUGAAGCUCAGCUGAGACCCAAGCCCUGCCACUCUGCCCUCCAUGACUGUUGCCCUCAGGGGAUGUCCAGGCUUCCCAUGGGAAGGGGCUGGCAUCAUCUGGGCCUGCCAAGCUC